CCUACGGGAGGCAGCAGUGAGGAAUAUUGGUCAAUGGACGCAAGUCUGCACCAGCCAUGCCGCGUGCAGGAAGACGGCUCUAUGAGUUGUAAACUGCUUUUGUACGAGGGUAAACGCAGAUACGCGUAUCUGUCUGAAAGUAACGUACGAAUAAGGAUCGGCUAACUCCGUGCCAGCAGCCGCGGUAAUCCGGAGGAUUCAAGCGUUAUCCGGAUUUAUUGGGGUUAAAGGGUGCGUAGGCGGUCGGAUAAGUUAGAGGUGAAAUACCGAGGCUCAACUUCGGAAUUGCCUCUGAUACUGGUCGGAUAGAGAGUAGUUGCGGUAGGCGGAAUGUAGGGUGGAGCGGUGAAAUGCU
rnacentral:rRNA from 1 species